AAUGAACGUUGGCGGCGUGGAUUAGGCAUGCAAGUCGAGCGAGAAUUUGCGAUUGGAAGCUUCGGCCGAAGAAAGUGAAGGAAAGCGGCAAACGGCGUAGUAAGGCGUAGGUACGUACCCUCGGGUCGGGAAUAGCCAUGGGAAACUGUGGGUAAUGCCCGAUAAUCUCUGCGGAGCAAAGGUGUGAUUCCGCCGGAGGAGCGGCUUACGUGAUAUUAGCUAGUUGGUGGGGUAAUGGCCUACCAAGGCAACGAUGUCUAGGGGGUGUGAGAGCAUGGCCCCCACGACCGGAACUGAGACACUGUCCGGACACCUACGGGUGGCUGCAGUCGAGAAUCUUCCGCAAUGGGCGAAAGCCUGACGGAGCGACGCCGCGUGGUGGAUGAAGGCCCUUGGGUUGUAAACACCUGUCAGGGGGGAUGAAAGCGCAAGCUUGACAGAGCCCCAGAGGAAGCACGGGCUAAGUUCGUG
rnacentral:rRNA from 1 species